CACCAGAACCAAGAGCAGCAAAGAAUCCUGGGAGAGGGAGCCGCUUCCUUGGCUGAAUCGCUAGCAGAUCACAGGUGUAUACGGAAUAUUCUGAAACGUCCCACUGUCUUAUGGACCUCCGAGGAAAACCAUGAUUGGGUGGUAGCAUAACCCUGGGAAUCCUAGAUGGAGAAACUCAGUUCGGGUGCCCAGUGUAGCCCAUGAAACGCAGUAAAGACACGAGCGCUUCUGCAGGGCCAAGCUAGAGAGCAGUCGAGCGUUUACCAAAUGCGCCCGUGCGCAGCCUUCGCAGCCAGAUGCCCACGGAAAUGCAAAGGCAAGGGCAGGAAAUGAAGUGCAAAUGGAAUUAAAAUGUCUGCGUCCUGAUGUUAUUCGAGAGAGAAGUCAAGCCGUUACUGUGGGUAGCAGGUGCCUGUGUUAACGUAGCAAUGGGGAACUUUUACCUUUCAG
rnacentral:sRNA from 1 species